UCCCUAGUGGCUCAGAUGGUAAAGCGUCUGCCUGCAAUGCGGAAGCCCUGGGUUCCAUCCCUGGGUCGGGAA
rnacentral:tRNA from 1 species